GCUUCUGUGGUGUAGUGGUAGCACGCGUCUCCGCUAUAGAUGAAACGCGGGUUCGACUCCAGCCUGAAGUA